rnacentral:rRNA from 1 species
GAUGAACGCGGCGGCGUGCCUAACACAUGCAAGUCGAGCGAGAAGCCAUAAAAGGACACUUCGGUAGAAUUAUAUGGCGGAAAGCGGCGGACGGGUGAGUAACGCGUGGGAAACCUGCCUUUCACAGAGGGAUAGCCGAAGGAAACUACGAUUAAUACCUCAUAAAGCAAAAGCUUCGCAUGGAGCGAUUGCCAAAGAAUAAUCGGUGAAAGAUGGUCCCGCGUCUGAUUAGUUAGUUGGUAAGGUAGCGGCUUACCAAGGCGACGAUCAGUAGCCGGCCUGAGAGGGUGAACGGCCACAUUGGAACUGAGACACGGUCCAGACUCCUACGGGAGGCAGCAGUGGGGGAUAUUGCACAAUGGGCGAAAGCCCUGAUGCAGCAAACGCCCGCGUGAAGGAAAGAAGGCUUU